GAUCCUGGCUCAGAUUGAACGCUGGCGGCAUGCUUUACACAUGCAAGUCGAACGGCAGCGCGGGCUUCGGCCUGGCGGCGAGUGGCGAACGGGUGAGUAAUGCAUCGGAACGUGCCCAGUAGUGGGGGAUAGCCCGGCGAAAGCCGGAUUAAUACCGCAUACGACCUGAGGGUGAAAGCGGGGGACCGAAAGGCCUCGCGCUAUUGGAGCGGCCGAUGUCGGAUUAGCUAGUUGGUGGGGUAAAGGCUUACCAAGGCGACGAUCCGUAGCUGGUCUGAGAGGACGACCAGCCACACUGGGACUGAGACACGGCCCAGACUCCUACGG
rnacentral:rRNA from 1 species